CCAUAGCCCCGAUUGUAGUGGAAAUCCUUUUUCUUUUCUUUGAAAAGGAAAAGAUUGCAACGGAAAGCGGGAUUAAGC
rfam:Epilithonimonas sp. 36-9 SCNpilot_cont_300_bf_scaffold_243, whole genome shotgun sequence.